GCGCCCGUAGCUCAGUUCGCAGAGCAGGUAGGCCGCUACCCCACGGUCCCGGGUUCAAGGCCCGGCUAUCGCU